rnacentral:lncRNA from 1 species
AGAGGCCCCAAGUUCUCUCUGGUGUUCCUGUUCCCCACCAUCUCCCCCUAAGUACAGGAUAAAGUUGUUCUGUGAAGUUCCCUUAUCUGCCUAAAGUCUGGACUUACCAAAGGAAAAAAAAAAAUUACCUCUAGUUCCUUCUUUGAGUUUUCAUUAACUGAACUUAUCUUGCAGGAAGAGACUGAAGUCUGUCAACAUACCUGGACAGACUUUUGUUACAAACCAUUUUCUGCUCUAUGGGCUCAACAGACGUUGCCCCAGAACAUUGCAUGCUCUUCAAGCCCAUUUAAUUCCUGUAAACAUAAUUUACUAUCCCCCUAAAAUCAUCCACACUUCCCUAUCUCCAUUUCCCCUAAGAAAUAGAGUAUAAUAGCAUCGGUACCCCAUUGGGAUAUUGGCCAGCCACUCUGAUUCUCCCCAUGCUCAUGGCAGUAAUAAAUUUGUAAAACCUCUUCUUUUAUUAAUCUGCCUUAUUAUGAGUUGGUUUUUCUGCAAAACUGCUGAGGGUAAAGAGAAACUUACCUUAGCCCCAACAGUAUUACUAUAUUUCUUCUGUCAUGUUCUAUAGUUCUUCAGGGCAAGAUUUAUGUGAUCCAUCUCUGUAUCCCCUACAUGAAUGAAUGCUUUGCACAUAGUUGAUUUUCAAAAAGCCAAAAAAUACUUAAUUUUUGGUUGUCGAAAUAAAGAAAUGAAUGGAUGGAUGGAUAGAUGGAUAAAAAACAUAAGUAAACAUAGGUAAGGCAUAACGUAAUACCCACUAAGUUUUAGGCUGAUGUUGUCCCUUUUAGAUAUUUUCAAGCUUUAAGGCUGAUAACAGAACAAGAUGAGCUCAGGGACUGCAGGGAGCAUGGAGCUUCAGAGGUAUACUCACUAGAUUUCUUCCCCAUAGAGAAAUUACUAAGAAACCACAGAAACAGUCCUCUGUGAACAAUCUGGACCUCAUUCAGAUUGGAAGCAGCUGAUGAGAUUUUCUGAGGUAAACUCUUGUUAGUUAAGAUCUAAACAAACGUGUUUUUUAGAGUGAACUUUGGAUAAAUGGAAACUCGAAAAGCUUUGGGAAAUUACUAAAGAUCAUGGAGCAGUGGAAAGUGGAGAACGGUGCUUCAGUGAAGACUGGCAUUUUUUGAAGAUAGGCAUUUUUGACUCUGCUUUCUCUAUUUCCA